UACGAACCGUGCGAACGUUGUUCGGAAUUACUGGGCUUAAAGGGCGCGUAGGCGGGCCAGCAAGUCAGGGGUGAAAUCCCACGGCUCAACCGUGGAAGUGCCUUUGAUACUGCUGGUCUGGAGGGAGAUAGGGGCGUGCGGAACUUCCGGUGGAGCGGUGAAAUGCGUAGAUAUCGGAAGGAACACCGGUGGCGAAAGCGGCGCGCUGGAUCUCUACUGACGCUGAGGCGCGAAAGCCAGGGGAGCAAACAGG
rnacentral:rRNA from 1 species